rnacentral:misc_RNA from 1 species
GAAGUGCAGACUAAAUGAGAAGGACAUGGCCAAAAGGAGCCAGGGAUUGGCCCAUGGAGGCAUUAUCAAGAGACUCCCAUCUUCAGAAAGGGCAUUGAGAGAGUUAAACAUUUCAAUUGCAACCAAUACAGAGAGUGAGAGAGUUGUGGCUUUCACUUUGCCUCCCUGGAAGUAAUCACACGGGUUAUUUUCGAAGGAUAAAACCCGAGCUCCAGCGGUGAAGGGUGAUACAGAAAAAUUUUCCCAGGAUGAGCAUUGAUCCCAGUUGGUUAGUUGCGAGUAUGUAACAAGGGUGUGGCCAUCUCCAGUAAGGUUAAUUCCCAAGAAGGAUUCAUGGGUGUACCAAAUGACGAAUACGCCUACAGUUGCUAUCCCUACAUAAAUCCCAGUGACCUGGAGAGUAAUCAAGAGGGAAAUUAUUCAAGAUCAGGUAAAAUCCAGAAAAAAAUGUCCACUGUGAAGAUUAACCAAAUUUUAAAUUAAGCUUCAAUCGCACCAGAUAGCGGAAUAAAAUCCAG